GAUGAACGCUGGCGGCGUGCCUAAUACAUGCAAGUCGAGCGAAGCGGGGACGGGUGAGUAACACGUGGAUAACCUCCUCUAAAACUGGGAUAACUUCGGGAAACCGGAGCUAAACCGGAUAAUUAUAGAUGGAUCCGCGCUGCAUUAGCUAGUUGGUAAGGUCACGGCUGACCAAGGCAACGAUUCAUAGCCGACCUGAGAGGGGGAUCGGCCACACUUGAACGGAGACACGGGCCAUACUCCUACGGGAGGCAGCAGUAGGGAAUCUUCCGCAAUGGGCGAAAGCCUUACGGAGCAACGCCGCGUGAGUGAUGAAGGUCUUCGGAUCGUAAAACUCUGUUAUUAGGGAAGCGGUACCUAAUCAGAAAGCCACGGCUAACUCCGUGCCAGCAGCCGCGGUAAUAC
rnacentral:rRNA from 1 species